rnacentral:lncRNA from 1 species
AUGCUCAAAAUUCUCCAAGCCAAGCUUCAGCAAUACGUGAACCAUGAACUUCCAGAUGUUCAAUCAGGUUUUAGAAAAAGAAGAGGAACCAGAGAUCAAAUUGCCAACAUCCGCUGGAUCAUGGAAAAAGCAAGAGAGUUCCAGAAAAAAACAUCUAUUUCUGCUUUAUUAACUGCCAAAGCCUUUGACUGUGUGGAUCACAAUAAACUGUGGAAAAUUCUGAAAGAGAUGGGAAUCCCAGACCACCUGACCUGCUUCUUGAGAAACCUAUCUGCAGGUCAGGAAGCAACAGUUAGAACUGAACAUGGAACAACAGACUGGUUCCAAAUAGGAAAAGAAAUACGUCCAGGCUGUAUAUUGUUACCCUGCUUAUUUAACUUCUAUGCACAGUACAUCAUGAGAAAUGCUGGGCUGGAAGAAGCACAAGCUGGAACCAAGAUUGCCGGGAGAAAUAUCAAUAACCUCAGAUAUGCAGAUGACACCACCCUUAUGGCAGAAAUUGAAGAGGAACUAAAAAGCCUCUUCAUGAGAGUGAAAGAGGAGAGUGAAAAAGUUGGUUUAAAGCUCAACAUUCAGAAAACAAAGAUCAUGGCAUCUGGUCCCAUCACUUCAUGGGAAAUAGAUGGGGAAACAGUGGAAACAGUGCCAGACUUUAUUUUGGGGGGCUCCAAAAUCACUGCAGAUGGUGACUGCAGCCAUGAAAUUAAAAGACGCUUACUCCUUGGAAGAAAAGUUAUGACCAACCUAGAGAGUAUAUUCAAAAGCAGAGACGUUACUUUGCCAACAAAGGUCCAUCUAGUCAAGGCUAUGGUUUUUCCUGUGGUCAUGUAUGGAUGUGAGAGUUGGACUGUGAGGAAAGCUGAGCGCCAAAGAACUGACGCUUUUGAACUGUGGUGUUGGAGAAGACUCUUGAGAGUUCCUUGGACUGCAAGGAAAUCCAACCAGUCCCUUCUAAAAGAGAUCAGUCCUGGGUGUUCUUUGGAAGGAAUGAUGCUAAAGCUGAAACUCCAAUACUUUGGCCACCUGAUAAGAAGAACUGACUCAUUAGAUAAGACCCUGAAACUAGCAAAGAUUGAAGGUAGGAGGAGAAGUGGAUGA